rnacentral:lncRNA from 1 species
UCCUCUUCAAACAUGUCGAUCCAACUGGCCCAAAGUUCCCCCCUCUUGAACCCUUAAUUCAGUACACGUGGUCAACAUUAACCACGUGCAAAAUUCUUCGCGCAAGCGGCCGCGCAGCUUCGCUUGGCGAAACUACAUGGUUGAUUUAACCAUGUAGUUGUCCACGUCUCUUGAUUUAAAAGAGUUGAAAUUUUUUUCCCGACAAUGAGAACUCGCCGUCCCAACGUUAGCGUGGAGAGCAGUGCCGGAAGCGGGGAAGCCCGCAUUCUCCUCCCAAUGCGAACGUUGUGAUGCCGCUCGCUUCACCACUGCUUCAACUGCGCCGUGUAUGCAAAACUCGGAUCACACGACCGCGGUAUUCGUUUUCUUUUUCUUCUAUUCUUCCCGAAACUUGCAGGGAUGUGCACGGCGAUGCCAAAACUACGACGCUCAAAUCACGUGACCUAAUUUUUUUUUUUUUAAUUUCUCCAAUGUUCUUGGCACGCGCAGGGCUGUGCACGGCACGGGCGCCCCUCGCGCUAUCGACGCGUGCACUGUCAGCCAGCAUUCCGUUUUCGUCGGUGGCUGCGAGACGACGCAGUCGGGUGCAUCCAGUGUUCGCAGUAUUCAACUGGAACGUAGUGGUCCCGUGCCCCGCCCGGCCGGUCCACCGUGGACACCGAUAUGGAGAACGCAGCGGGAGGCCGACGGCCAGACGUAGGGCGUAGCUGCAGAGUGACGUCCACAACACGCGAGUACGUGCGCGGCCAUGUGGAAGGAACGACACCGAGUGCCCUCAAUCGAGGUGCCGGGCUCCCUGCUUCCAGCCGUCGCAGUCGCCGCACCUACGAGAUGAGCUGGUGCUCAAGGGUUCCUGCUGCUGCCUCCCUAGCACGGCAGACGCUGCUACGCAGGUUACUGCAGGCUCUAGAGCGGCGGACCGCCGCUGCUGCUAAUCGACGCCAACGACAGCCGCGCGCGAGUUCAUCGGAAUCACAAAGUUCACGAGAGUCUGGCCAAGGUUCGGAGCACGAGACCCGAGGUUCGGCGCCACGUGCGGCGCCCGCGAGCAGCCAUUUGUAUUCCGAGGAUUUUCGGGUCACUCGACAUGGCACUCGUCGCCAAAGGCUGCGCACAAGCUUCAGUUGGUCACGCGAGGUACAUGUCCCAGCGAGGACGUGCCCGCGAGGGCCCUCGACGUCUGUCAGCCAGCCCUAACUAUACAGCGGGAGGUGGCGUCCUACACCACGGGGGCUCGUCCUGUUUCGGCUUCUGCGACGCAUGUGCAAAAGCAUGCUUGUGACUCGAGGCGUGUGGUAUUUCACCUUUCCGUGCUGCUUCGUUGUCAACGGUGGGAGCAGCCGGAGCGCUGGGCAACCGCAGCCCUGACACCAGCUGUAAAGUAAAGGCCUUUGUACAAAGUU